CGUCGGAUGAAGAGACUUACCGGAGUCAAAAGCAAGGAGCUCAUGAUCUGGGUUCCUGUGAAUGAUAUCUUCAUCAAAGAGAAAGAUCCUGAGAAGAUCACCUUUGCUAAUAGCACUGGCCUGUCACGAACAUUCAAAGUUUCAGCCUUUCAGUGUGGGGAUUAAGACAACGGAGGAAAAGAGGAGAAACUGAACUUCCUCGAUGUAAGCGAAGCAACCAAUAAAAAACACAAGUUAAGUUUAAUUAAAUAUCACAAAGACGAGCCUUUUCACAUUGGAUUGCUUAUGUAUCAUAACAGUAAAUGAACAAGUUUUAAAAUUCAUGCCUUGAAGCACAACACUGAAUUUCCAUUCAACAUAUCGAAUCAAUUCAUUCGCUAAACAUAGCAGAAGAUGUAUGCUAUGUUCUCUAUCAAAUUGUCAUGAGCCUCUUCAGUAUUUAUGUUCAUGAUCUGUAAAACUAUAAGCCAAUACAUGGUUUCAUAUAGAUGGGAAAAGACACAAAUGAACCUAAACAAUCAGAUUAUUGAAAAGAAAUAACAUAAAUGAUUGACUAUAUAUCUGAACUAAAAACAAUGAGAUGCAAUGAUUAAGAAAGAAAUAUUGCGCUUAGAUUGGGAAAUGAUGCAAAUUUACAUAUAUAUAUAUUUAUAUAUAUAUAUAUAUAUAUUUCUCAAGAAAAAGAUUUCAAACCAUCCCAUAAUUUUAGCUAAAGGAAAGAGUUUAAAAUCUGCUUAAGAAAAUCUAUCCACUAGAUUAACAAGACAUAAUGCAUAAAGACAUUUGCUUUAGUUUUUUUUACAUAAUCAACACUAGAAAAUACUCACAUCUGAGAAAGUAAAUUUUAAGAGAGACAAUGUAUAGAGUUCUUGAAGAUCGGAGAUCAGAAUGGUGAGCAGCAGUUUCAUCCUCUACACAAGUUAUCAUGUCCCACUGUUUUGCUGGGUAAGAGAAACCAGAAAUUUCAAAAUCAGGGUCUCUUGCAAAGAGAAACAAAAAGGAUCGCAAGGAAAGUGUCAGCCAACCAAAGAUUCUCAGUCUGUCCUCAAAUAAUCAAGAUCCUUGUAUCCAAACCACCAAAUUUAAAAGACGUAAUGAUAAAUAAUUUUGAUGAUGAGUCUAACUUUUCCAACCCAUGAUAUGCUUCUUUUUCAUCCAAGAGUCUAAAGAAAAAGUCGAUUUGUC
rnacentral:lncRNA from 1 species